rnacentral:lncRNA from 1 species
GCAUACCGGAGAUCAACACUGGCCCUCUAUCCAAGCCUGGAGCCAAGACAGCUGUCACCCACUUUUUUGACACUGCCUGGCCACUUCCGGUGCCGCUGGGAGGAAGAGGCGGGUCCUAGAUGGAUGGCGCUUGUGCAGUCAGUCUGGUGGAUAUAGAGCCGACGGUGGCAGCAUGUUGUCGGCUGCUAGAGUUGUCGGCUUCCGGCGGCGUUUUCGGCAGCGGUACUGGCCUGGAGAGUGCGGGAACGAAGACAUUUUCAUGGAUAUGAAACUGGAUGCAGUUGAAGUUCAUCUGCUGGGUAAUCUUCCAUUUCUGGGGACUGCUUGACUUCCUGCUAAACACAGCUGGGACUUCUUCCUGGAGAGGAGCAACUGCUCCAUGCCAAUGUGUGUCCUGUGGCCAGUGAGGAGUGCGCCUGUGCCUGGCGCUUUGACCCAGAAGUGCACCCGCAGGCGCCGCCACUUCUGCCCUCGAUGCACUGGUGGGAGUCAGCGCCGUGUCCGCUCCUGCCCAGAGCCUUGAGGAGCCGCCUUCAACGCUGGUGGCUGAACCUGAGGAGACCCAGGGCCCUGCAGACUCAGGCUGGGAUCAGACUGCACACACAGAGGAGAAAGCAGAAGCUUAGAGAAAUGCCAAGAAUCCCUCAGUGCCCUGUUCCAGCCUGCCCCAAGAUUCUGACACCUCACAGCACAGUCCUCUUCUUUGGCCCCUCUGAAAGACUACACCUCAGGUCUGGAUUCCUGUGUCAGAGGAACAGAAAGGCUCUUUCUGUGGAGAGUUUGGCAUGGUGGCCUUCCUGUCACUGGGCUGCACACACGAAGGAGAAAGCAGAAGCUUAGAGAAAUGCCAAGAAUCCCUCUGUGCUGUGUUCCAGGCUGUCCCAAGAUUCUGACACCUCAUAGUAAGUACUAGAUAUUUUUUUCUAUUUAAAUACUGGUUUGAAAGGCAGAAUUAUAGAUGAGGAGGUGUGGGAGAGAUCUUCGUGUAUGGGUUCACCCCCCAGGUGACUACAUUACCAGGGCUGGGCCAGGCGGGAGCAGAAGCCAGGUACUUUAUCCAGUACUCCAGAGUGGGUUCAGGGGCCCAAGUUCUUGGGGUGCAUCCUCUGCUUUCCUAGGCAUUUCAGCAUACAUCUGGAUCACAAGUGGGAACAGCCUGCGGGUGGGGGUGGGGUGGCCGACAGAACAGUGGCAUAGUGGAUGAAGCUGCCGCCUGUAGUACCAGCAUCCCAUAUGGGUGUCUUCCUUCUCUAUGAUACUUUUCUUCUCAUUCCCCCAGCAAACUAAGUAUCC